GAUGAACGCUGGCGGCGUGCCUAAUACAUGCAAGUCGAGCGAACGGACGAGAAGCUUGCUUCUCUGAUGUUAGCGGCGGACGGGUGAGUAACACGUGGAUAACCUACCUAUAAGACUGGGAUAACUUCGGGAAACCGGAGCUAAUACCGGAUAAUAUUUUGAACCGCAUGGUUCAAAAGUGAAAGACGGUCUUGCUGUCACUUAUAGAUGGAUCCGCGCUGCAUUAGCUAGUUGGUAAGGUAACGGCUUACCAAGGCAACGAUGCAUAGCCGACCUGAGAGGGUGAUCGGCCACACUGGAACUGAGACACGGUCCAGACUCCUACGGGAGGCAGCAGUAGGGAAUCUUCCGCAAUGGGCGAAAGCCUGACGGAGCAACGCCGCGUGAGUGAUGAAGGUCUUCGGAUCGUAAAACUCUGUUAUUAGGGAAGAACAUAUGAGUAAGUAACUGUGCACAUCUAGACGGUACCUAAUCAGAAAGCCACGGCUAACUACGUG
rnacentral:rRNA from 1 species